UCUUUGCUUUGUGCUAAAGUCAACAGUGGCACAGUUGGAGCUCCAAUAAAUGCCGGGAUGCUCCCAGCUCCCGCACAGCCGGGCCGGCGGCCGGGGCGCAGCGUUAAUUUUCUCGUUAAUUUCUGAGGAUAUUUGGAUUAAACAUGAUCCCGCUCCUUCUCCUGCUGAUCCAUCUCCGUCUCCUUCCCGGUGUGCCCAAAGUCCUACUGGAGCUUCCUGUGCCACCAAAACCUCCGGACCCAUUCCCUAAUUCCCUGCACAGCUCUCACCUGAUAGGAAAACAGGAAGAGGUUGCCUGGGGAUGUUGUUGGCUGAGCCAAUUUUAAUUCCACGGUUUUCCCAGUUUUUAGGGAGAAUUGAUCCUGCAGGCUGGAUGGAUCCCAUGGUUGAAGGGGAAUGAUCCACAAGCUUCCUUGCAUCCCAAUCCAUGCUGGAAUUCCAUGAUCCAUUGUCUUGGUUACUUCAGCACAACAUGGAUUUAAGGAAAAAUCACUCUGAUCCAGGUGCUGGAUCAUCUGGAAAAUCCAGGAAAAACAACCAACCUGUCCUGGUGAAUGGAGCAAGAGGAGAGUUGGGACAGAGAGCAGAAUCCCAAAAGGAGAAUUGGGAAGCAGCAUCCAGACUUUAUCCCAAGGACAACGGCUGCAGAUGGGGACAAUAAAAGGGGACAUUAAAUUCCAUGUGUUCUGUGGGAUUAUCCUGGAAGCAAUCCCAAUUUAUUUUGCCAAAUUGAGCUCCAGCCAAUUCCUCUCCCAGGUGAUGAUGGAUAAAUAUCAUUAAAUUGGGAAAGAUGGAAACGAGGGAUGCCCUUGAAUCAGUGGGAACAAGUACUUGGGAAGGGAAGGACAAAACCAGGAUAUUGGGGUGCAAAUCAUCCAAAUGAGGCAGAUUAAACAUGAAGGAAAAUGAGAUGGAGGCUGGGAAAGUGGGGAAACCGUUGGGAUGUCUUUGGAACUUUGUUUUCCAGUGAAAAAAAUGGGGAAAAAUUUUCAGAAAUGGGUUGGGAAAACUUCUGGAGGGGUUUCUUGAAGAGGGAAAUAUUUCUCAGUUUGAUUCUAUUGAAUCUCAGCAUUUUAGAGGUUGCAGUGUUUGGGAUUGAAGCCAGAAUUCCUUGGGAAUGCAUUUAAAUCUCACAAUAGGGUGGGAAAUCCCAAGCACUUCCCAUUAUUCAAUGUGGAUUACCAUCCUGGAAUAUCCCCUGUUUCUGUUUUUGGAAAAGCCAAAUCCCUGGACUGAUCUGUCGCAGGUGGAAUUUAACCCUUCCUUUGCCUCCUUUCCAAAUAAAAGAUUU